CGGAGUGGACGCAUCACUGGUGUUCGGGUUGUCAUGCCAAUGGCACUGCCCGGUAGCUAAAUGCGGAAGAGAUAAGUGCUGAAAGCAUCUAAGCACGAAACUUGCCCCGAGAUGAGUUCUCCCUGACUCCUUGAGGGUCCUGAAGGAACGUUGAAGACGACGACGUUGAUAGGCCGGGUGUGUAAGCGCAGCGAUGCGUUGAGCUAACCGGUACUAAUGAACCGUGAGGCUUAACCUU
rnacentral:rRNA from 1 species